GCCCCCGUAGCUCACGAGGAUAGAGCGACGGUUUCCUAAACCGUAGGCAACAGGUUCGAAUCCUGUCGGGGGCA
rnacentral:tRNA from 1 species